CAUCAGGGAUACAUCCCUUCUGGAGGGCCUAGGGGAAAAUCUACUUUCUUUGCCCCUUUGAACUUCUGCAGGACUCUUCCUUUCUUGAUUCAUGGAUUCACUAUUUGUUUUCAAGUUCAAAAAUCAUGGAGCUGCAAAAGGCUGAGGAUUGACACUACCCCACACUGCAUCAGCAAUACUUCAUUCUUGAAUCCAGUCCCAGAAUUCCAUUCUAAUUGUCUGCUGAGGAACAAAAUAGUAUGGAUUUAUAUGUCAACCACAUUACCCAUCUGUUGAGGAUGAACACAUGUAAGAUGUUAUUUUCCCUACAUUUCAG